UACAAAAAUCGCAAAUCUAAAAAAUAAAAAUUCUUAAAUCACGAAUUCGAUAGUAAUCACUAGAGAUAGACAAAAAACCAAACAGAACCGAGUCAAAUCGAACCGAGUCAAAUCGAACCAUUCGAACCGAGUCAAAUCGAACCAACCGAACCGAAUCAAAUCGAACCAACCGAACUGAAACCGAUUCAAACCGAACCAAAGUCUAUUUUAAACCAUUCGGUUGAAGAUUUUCCUAACCCAAAUGAUUCGAUUUUAAACCGAAUCGAACCGAAAAACUGACGUGUUUAUAUAAUUAUUUAAAUUAAAACUAUUGGUAAUACCAAUAUACUAAAAUUCUAAUAACAACUAUUUUUCAUUUUUCAUUUAUUAACACCCAUACCAUCGUCCACGCGAGCUACAUACUGUAUAUAGGAAUAGGUGUGUCUGUGUGUGCGUGUGUUUAUAUUAAACCGGGAAUAUUCAUAAUGUGGUGACGUCAUUAUAUAUGAUCACUUGCUAAAUACAUUAACCAACUUCGUCUCUUCAUCUCUACUAGUAACCAAUUAACCAACCAAAACAAACUUUCAAAUCUUCUCCUCUCCUCUCGCUUCAUCUCCCUCCGUUUCCGUCUUGUCUUUCGAAUCUGAACAUCUCUGGAAAUAAUCUAAAACAAAAUGGGUGAGAACGCCAUCUCAGGUAAUCUCAAGAAUCUAAAGAUCGACACAGGACGUUCAGAGACUCUCGUGGUGUGUUUCGGCGAGAUGCUGAUCGAUUUCGUGCCAACGGUGGGAGGUGUUUCACUCGCUGAAGCACCAGCUUUCAAGAAAGCACCAGGAGGUGCACCUGCGAAUGUAGCCGUUGGUGUCUCUAGACUCGGUGGCUCCUCUGCUUUCGUUGGAAAGGUAGGUGAUGAUGAGUUUGGACGAAUGUUAGCUGAUAUUCUAAGGCUGAACAACGUGGAUAACUCCGGGAUGAGAUUCGACCACAAAGCACGCACCGCUCUCGCCUUUGUUACGUUGAGAGGUGACGGAGAGAGGGAGUUUCUGUUCUUCAGACACCCUAGUGCCGACAUGCGUCUCUUGGAGUCUGAGCUUGACAAGAAUCUAAUCCAAAAGGCCAAGAUCUUUCAUUACGGAUCUAUCGGUUUGAUCGAGGAGCCUUGCCGGUCGACUCAGCUCGCAGCUAUGAAAAUCGCUAAAGCCUCGGGGAGUCUCUUGUCGUAUGACCCGAAUUUGAGAUUGCCGUUGUGGCCGUCAGAGGAAGCUGCAAGGAAAGAGAUCAUGAGUAUCUGGAAUUUGGCAGAUGUUAUAAAGAUAAGUGAGGAGGAGAUUACAUUCCUGACUGGUGGAGAUGAUCCUUAUGAUGAUGAAGUUGUGUUGCGAAAGCUCUUUCAUCCAAAUCUUAAGCUUCUUGUUGUUUCAGAAGGACCUAAUGGCUGUAGAUACUACACUCAGGAGUUUAAAGGUAGAGUUGGUGGAGUGAAAGUGAAAGCGGUUGAUACAACCGGUGCAGGAGAUGCAUUCGUGAGCGGUCUAUUGAACAGCUUAGCUUCUGAUCUCACUCUUCUCACUGAUGAGAAGAAGCUAAGAGAGGCGCUUCUAUUCGCAAACGCUUGUGGAGCUAUUACUGCUACAGAGAGAGGAGCCAUUCCAGCUAUGCCCACCAUGGAUGCAGUUCAAGACCUUCUCUCUUCUUCUCGCUCCUAAAAAUGCUCAAAAAGUCUCUUUUUUUUUAAUGACUCAAUUCAUUACCUUUUCACUGUAUCUUAGUUCCUAAUUUGUAGGAACUCAAGAAUGUUGAGUGUGUUUCUAGUUUGUUGAUCUCCUGGUGUUUUGGUUUUAUGUCAAGUUAGAUUCUUCUACAAGGAACAAAAUUUCUGCUCUAUGAAAUGCGUGCCGUUUUUGUGGCGGAGAACGACAAGCAUCUCUUUGAUAGAAAACGACAAAUCCCGCGAGUGUGUAAAUACUAAAUACCGAAGCGAACAACUAGUGAAGUAUUAUGAACGUGAGUAGCACGUGACAACUCCGCUUUUUUUUUUUUUGAUAAAAAAAAAGGCUGUGGGGUAUAACCGACAUUCUACAAAUAUAACGGCGUUAAGAGUCGGAACGUGGAGUCUUGGGUGAAAACUUAACGAACUUUUAUGUUUGGCCGUCAAAAUCAGGGACGAUAGUUCGUUCUCACGUUCUCUCCAUCUUCACUCUCCUCUGAGAUCCAGACUCUUAUUAUUGAUCGGAAGAAGAAGAAGAAGAAGAAGUCGAGGCAUUUUGGAGCGGUGGUUGAAGAGGAGAUGAUGGCUUCGGAUCCAAAACUGAAGGCAGAGAUAGGUCCCGACGGAUUAGCAAGAGAAGCUCCCGUUAUUGCUUACACUGAGAAGAUAAUCGAGGAAGAGCAGCUUCAGUUGAGGAAGUAAGUAUCUGAUUCUGGAAUUUCGUUUGAUCGAUUUGAUUGUUGUGAGAAUGAAUGUAUGUGUAUGUGUGGUGUGUGCAUCUUGCGAUCUGAGAUUCUGUCAAUGUUGCAUUCUUCUCCUUGUGUCGUUUUAAGUUAGCUAAGGGUAGAGAAUGAUCCUAUUAAGAAUCGAAUGUUAGUUUUUUUUUUCUUCUGCUUAAUGAGAGAGAGAGAGAGCUUCUGUGUGUGAGACAGAUACAUUGAGGAGAACUAUUCAAAGAUAAGGGAUGUAGAAAGGGAAUUUGGAAACCUCACCUUGGAGAUGAAACUCACUGCUGGUCCUAAGAAAGCUGCGCUGGAACACUUGAGAAAGAAGAUUGAAGCCUGUACUGAAAAGAUCCAUGCUGCUAAGUUGAAAGAAGAUGAAGCUAGAAAGGCAUAUGAAGCAGCAUCAAAAGUUGUCAAGGAUGAAGAAGCAAUAAAACAGAGCCUUUG